rnacentral:misc_RNA from 1 species
GAUGAAGAACGUAGCGAAAUGCGAUAAGUAAUGUGAAUUGCAGAAUUCAGUGAAUCAUCGAAUCUUUGAACGCACAUUGCGCCCGCCAGUAUUCUGGCGGGCAUGCCUGUCUGAGCGUCAUUUCAACCCUCAUGCCCCUAGGGCGUGGUGUUGGGGAUCGGCCAAAGCCCGCGAGGGACGGCCGGCCCCUAAAUCUAGCGGCGGACCCGUCGUGGCCUCCUCUGCGAAGUAGUGAUAUUCCGCAUCGGAGAGCGACGAGCCCCUGCCGUUAAACCCCCAACUUUCCAAGGUUGACCUCAGAUCAGGUAGGAAUACCCGCUGAACUUAAGCAUAUCAAUAAGCGGAGGA